AUGGCAGUCACAUUGGAAAGUAAUCCUGUUGGCCGGUCAUCUGAAGGCAAAUUCAGGAAAACAACCACUAGGUCAAAUUUUCUGUUUGAUGGAUUUAAACUGCUACUUCUCUUGUCAGAAUUCAAGAGAGAACUUGAAUGCUGCUGAAUCAGAUAAUGGCCUUGAAGUAUUUGGGAUGUAAAACAGAGGCCCAAGGCUUGUGACAGGCAUCUCCCAAGUUUGUACAAAGUCAGGUAAGAGGGUGUGUUGUGCCUAUGGAGAAUGAAUUAUAUCAGGCUGGAGAGCUAUAAUACUGAUGUGUGAGCAGGCCAACAUUGUAGUGGUCAGUAAAAAGUCUUACCUGACCAACUGUGGGUAUUCAAUAUGCAGUAUAAACUCCUGCAGUGCAUAAGUUUGAGCUCAUUAUGUAAACUGUGGACAUUAAAACCUCUGUUUCCUCUUCUUUCUCUGAGUAUGCAGCUUUUGUUUUCUGGACAUGUUUAAUCACAGGCCCCCACCACUCAUGUACAAAAGCAGGAAUGGAGGAGACAUCAAGCAGACAAGUGUGUAUGCAGCAAGGUUAGGCGCCUAGCCAAUGGCUUAGUCCUCUUCAGGGGCAGGCCUCUGUCCAGAUUGGUAUUUAGAGCUAGAUUCUGUCUGUUCUGGCACUUUCAUUACUUUGCUAAUGAAACAAAGCAGUGAUUAAUUUAUCUUUAGUGUUAAACAAAAGUAUUUUACUUACCUUCUGCUAGAAC
rnacentral:lncRNA from 1 species